AGGUGACAUCUACUGGAGACAGCUUUAUAGAGAUAACAUGGCGUGCGCCGUUCCCUCCAGGUGGCGUUAUCGUCAGUUACGAGAUAUCGUGCACUCAACAGUCCAGUCUUUGGAAUGAGACGGUGACUGCUGCAGACAUUACUAGUAUAACUAUUGGCAAUUUGCGGUUCAAGUCCACGUACUUGCUUCGAAUCCGCUGCAAAACUGCUGUCGGCUAUGGCGAAUAUAGUGAUGUAAUUUGGGCAACAACGGACGAAAAAGGUAUAAAUGGUGGCGCUGUAGCAGGAGGUGUGUUGGGGGUUCUUGUCCUGGUGGCGGUACUUGUGGUUGUGGUUGUCAUAUACAAAAGAAGACGACGCACUCAAGAGCUUUAUGAAGUUGAUGCCUUUUCUGAAUUGCAGAGAAAAGAAGCUUCAGAUCUAGAUGACCAUGUAUAUGAAUCUCCGGUUCAAAGUCUGUAUGAAAACACAGAAGACGAGUUUCUCUAUAGCAG